rnacentral:rRNA from 1 species
GACGAACGCUGGCGGCGUGCUUAACACAUGCAAGUCGGACGGAAAGGCCCUGCUUUUGUGGGGUGCUCGAGUGGCGAACGGGUGAGUAACACGUGAGUAACCUGCCCUUGACUUUGGGAUAACUUCAGGAAACUGGGGCUAAUACCGGAUAGGAGCUCCUGCUGCAUGGUGGGGGUUGGAAAGUUUCGGCGGUUGGGGAUGGACUCGCGGCUUAUCAGCUUGUUGGUGGGGUAGUGGCUUACCAAGGCUUUGACGGGUAGCCGGCCUGAGAGGGUGACCGGCCACUUUGGGACUGAGAUACGGCCCAGACUCCUACGGGAGGCAGCAGUGGGGAAUAUUGCACAAUGGGCGGAAGCCUGAUGCAGCAACGCCGCGUGCGGGAUGACGGCCUUCGGGUUGUAAACCGCUUUCGCCUGUGACGAAGCGUGAGUGACGGUAAUGGGUAAAGAAGCACCGGCUAACUACGUG